AUCUGUCAUACACGAGAACCCACGUUGCAACCUGAAAAAGAUGAGUAAAAAUACUUUUUUUUAUCACUUUUUCAUUCUCUCUUUCUCCAUCAGUUCAUCCUUUCGAAUUCUCUCCAGGCUUGACAGAAAAGAAGAGAAGUGGAAUACAAAAGUUAUAGUGAUUUGGUCUAGGUGACCUACAUCCACUCUUAAAAGUUGCUUCUGUUUCUUGUGAGAGGUGAGUUGUACGAGGAAGUUUCAGCUGGAGGUAAAUUUUAGCUCUUACAGCUUGUAUGGGCAUGAAAAUGAAAGGGAGAAGCUAGUCAUGAAAAUGGAAGCCGUUGUACAAAAGAAAGCAUUUUUAGAGGAUGAAUUAGAUGCUUUGGAAACACAAAUUAACCGUCUAACUUUGGAAAUAGAAGAACUGGGGGCCAAGGUAUUUUCUAUAAAAAGUAAUAAUGAGCGCGCUCAGUAUGAGCAUAACACGAUUCGCUUGAGGGUGAAGGAAUAUGAUUCCCAAAUCGGUUGCACUGUCAGAGAGCAGCAUAACUUCAACUAAACUUAGUCAAAUGAGCAUUGAGAGGAAGAAAAUGGAAAAUGAGGCAAAACGACUAGAGAUGGAAAAGAAAGAUUGUUCUGUUCGAGUAGACAUAUUGGUUAAGAAAAAUGCAUGGAUUGCAUCUGAGAAAUAAUUAUUUGGAAAAGUGGAACGGAUUAUGAUUUUGAAUCAUGUGAUCCUUGUAAAGUAAUAGAAAAACUUGAAAGACUGCAGACUCAACAAUCUAGAUCUUAACUGAUUGUUGGACUUUGGAAGAUUAUGCUAAAAGCAUUACCACCCUACCCUCAUCCCUCUCAGCGCUUGUCUUUACAUAGAAGCCUUGAGAAAAGGGUGAACAAAAAGGUAAUGGUGGUGUUUGAGAAAGCAGAUGAUGAGUACAAUGAUUUGCUGUCAAGAAAAACAUCAUUGAGAAAGAUAAGUCUAAAAUAAAGAAGGUGAUCGAAGAACUAGAUGAGAAAAAAAGGAAACCCUGAAAGUUACUUGGGAAGAAGUUAACAAGAGGACAUCUAGUUCUCAUCAAAUUGAUACGCAACUAUCAUACCGUGUUCCUUGAUUGUUGGGUUGAUGCAGCUCUUGAUCAAAGCCAUACACAAAAUAUUGGGAGGAUGAUCAAGGCUCCUUCCCACAUUCUCAGUUUAUCGUGGUUUCACUCAAAGAAGGCAUGCUUAACAAUGCCAAUGUACUUUUCCGGACCAAAUUUGUAGACGGUGUUUCCACUGUUCAGAGAACAGUCACUGCUAAGCAAAACAAGUGAUCCUCGUAGGUGUACAAGAUUUAAUGUUCUGGAAGAAUUCGAAGAAUUUUGAAGAAAUUUCCAGCAAGGUUGGGUCUACAAUCGGUGAGUUUUGGUGGGUUCUUGUUUAAUGGUAGAUUAACCUUUAAGCUUUGUGCUAGUUUAAGUUUGUUACUUACCGUGCUUGUGUUAGAUUAGAGCUUUGAGGGACUUUGAGGCACUGUUCAGAAGUCAUUGGGUUUUUGUAGGUUAUCUUAAGUUUAAUUGUUGGGAAUUUAGUCAUUGUCUUACUGAUGAUUUGUGCAUAGGUUGGACUAUUUGGUGGACGUCUUUGAGUGAAAUUUUGGAUUGAUCUUGUUUUGACCUCCAUUUGGGCUUUGGAUUGAGAAGUUUGAUAAACAAAGGACGAAAUUGUUUGCAUUUACUAUAAGGUAGAGGUAAAGAUAGACCGACGAAUGACAAGAGGAAUCUGUGACAGAGUCAUUAGGAUUUGACAUCGCUUUCGCACAUGAUUUUCUCCAGAGUCAAAUAUUUAAAUUAUUCGAUUGUUUUAGUAGUUAUUUAUUUUGAAGUGGAUUAGGGGCAUCCUAUAUUUUAUUUUAUUAUUUUAGAGCUUUAUUUAAUGAAAAAGUUUUAUUUCUUUUAUUGGAUUUUUCUUCUAGAAAUAUGUUUUAAAGCUUAUGCAUGUAUGUAAUGACGUCUUGAAGUAUAUUAGAAAGUUGGGUCGUUACACUAAAUGAAUAGAAGUAGAAUCAAUAAACUUCCAACUUUAUACCUU